rnacentral:rRNA from 1 species
UUUAAGUGUUAAUUUGAUUUGCCUGGGUAGUAUUAGUUAAGGUCUUUAAACCCAAAGAAUUUGGCGGUAUUUUAUUCCAUUCAGAGGAACCUAUCUCGUAAUUGAUAGUACACGAUUUACUUUACUUGAUUUAUUUGUUUGUAUAUCUCCGUUAUCGGAAAAUCUUUUUGGAGUUAUAAUUUUCCUGUUUUUUUAUUAAAAAUUAUUUCAGGUCAAGGUGCAGCUUAUAAUUAAGUGUAUGAUGGGUUACAAUAAAUUUUUUUAUUAUGAAUUUAAUUUUGUAAUAUUUUAAUGAAGGUGGAUUUGAUAGUAAUUUAAUUUAUUUAAUUUAAUUGAUAUUGGCUCUAAAAUGUGU